AUAAAAAUAGCAAUAUCAUGCAAUCCUAUAUUUGUAUUUCUCAGUUCAAUUGCUUUUUAUUUUCAAACAGUAUGCAACUAAGACAUGCCUGAGUGAAGUUUCCUAGGAGCCAAAUAAUUAAUCCAACAUUUAUCUGAAAUGCUGAACUAACUUGCACAAUUCUUCAAAUGACUAUCACACCUUUGAUGGGGAUAUACAAAUUGUUUCAACCUGAGGCUUGUGUCAUAAAGCAUUCUGAUUAAUCAAGAACACGUUGUAAUUUGUUGCAUUUGGAAUGUAGCUACCUAACUUCCUGAAUAAUAAAAUACCUGUAAAAUUACACAAUCAAAGCUAUACCUCCACCAAGCAAAGUGACAGAGAUGGUACUAACAUCAACAAAAGAAUCUUUCCAACCAUGUAAGGUUGUAAUGUUAAAUUCCCAUUCACGAUCAAAAUUCCACAUAUUUACAACCUGCAAACAUCCAAAAUGCACACUUCAACAUCUGUGUGGCUGCCAACUUCUACUGAAAUCUAUAGCAUGCUUUUUUAGAAGUGGAGGAAAAAGAAUAAAAAACCCGAGAAUUUGUGCAGUCAUCCCUUGAACAACUGUAAUUGAAUGGAUCGGGACCCCCAUGCCACCGUCCUAGAGGUGCUCACACAACAGCUGCCUCUUGAAGGCACUAUGGAUGGAAUAAGAGAUGUUGCAUUGCAGAAUUCCACGAAUGAGUGACAGUCCAUGUGUGUUGCUGAACUCUGUCCAGCUCAGAGUUGACAUACCCAGUGUCUCCUCCCGAAGAUGGGCAGAACCUUAUCAUUCCAUGUCAUUCUCACAGGACGGCUCACCCUCUCUCCCUUUCCAGGAAGAUGGUUUCAUAAUUUCAUCUGCAAAUUUGUUUAUGUAUUGAAUCAAAU
rnacentral:lncRNA from 1 species